UACGAAGGGGGCUAGCGUUGCUCGGAAUCACUGGGCGUAAAGGGUGCGUAGGCGGGUCUUUAAGUCAGAGGUGAAAUCCUGGAGCUCAACUCCAGAACUGCCUUUGAUACUGAGGGUCUUGAGUAUGACAGAGGUGAGUGGAACUGCGAGUGUAGAGGUGAAAUUCGUAGAUAUUCGCAAGAACACCAGUGGCGAAGGCGGCUCACUGGCCCAUUACUGACGCUGAGGCGCGAAAGCGUGGGGAGCAAACA
rnacentral:rRNA from 1 species